AACGAACGCUGGCGGCAUGCCUAAUACAUGCAAGUCGAACGAGACCUUCGGGUCUAGUGGCGCAUGGGUGCGUAACGCGUGGGAACCUGCCCUUAGGUUCGGAAUAACUCCCCGAAAGGGGUGCUAAUACCGGAUAAUGUCUUCGGACCAAGGAUUUAUCGCCUUUGGAUGGGCCCGCGUUGGAUUAGCUAGUUGGUAGGGUAAAAGCCUACCAAGGCGACGAUCCAUAGCUGGUCUGAGAGGAUGAUCAGCCACACUGGGACUGGGACACGGCCCAGACUCCUACGGGAGGCAGCAGUGGGGAAUAUUGGACAAUGGGCGAAAGCCUGAUCCAGCAAUGCCGCGUGAGUGAUGAAGGCCUUAGGGUUGUAAAGCUCUUUUACCCGGGAUGAUAAUGACAGUACCGGGAGAAUAAGCUCCGGCUAACUCCGUG
rnacentral:rRNA from 1 species